GCCACAGCUCCAUCCUCAGCCUCGCCGCUCCCUGCCGCCGGAGCCAACGCCCGUGGUGCAGGGGAGGCUGCGUGAGGAGCGGCUCCAGAUGAGGGACACGUUCACCCCUCAGUGAUGCGGAGCUCCGUAGUUCUGAGGGCCAAAGCCCCCUCUAGGCUACUUAUGAGCUGGUGCUGGAUGCUGGUCAUGUAAUAACGUGUUGCAACUAAAGUCAUUCAAGAACAAUACUUUAGGGCCUUAAAAAUGGUGACAGGGCCUUCACCACGCUGGGUUUGGUUGCCUUGGGCCCACAGGCCACCUGUGUGUGGCAAACACCGGGACCACCCUUGGGCUGUGCCAGCAGCAGGGAAGGGCUUUCCCUGGUCCCUCAGAGGCACAGGAGUGCCCAGCGUCCUCCUCACUAGUGGGGAGUGUGACAGGGACAGUGAAAUCCACUUGAAGGUGGAUGGACCCCACCAUGUCAGGGAGGCACUGGAGGGAAACAAAUUAUAAGAUAACAAACUGUCCACAGUGUGAUGUUUAUAAACCUGCUUUUCUUGUGUUAUCCCAAAAGAGCCAUGCAUUACGUUGCUGGUAACAUCAACUGUUCCGAGCUGUGCUCAUGGUUGCUUUAUAUAACUGGGUGGAAAAAUCCUUCCUCUCAUUUCAGACAUUUUGGUUCCUCUGUUUACUGGGAGUUGGAGCUUCCUACGUAGAGAAAGCUCUCAAGGAGCAAGUCACAUUUUCCAGGGCGCUGUGCAUGUGGAGAGAUGAGUAACUGCUGUAGCCUGAGUCACAGGGAAGGAGAGAGCUCUGAGGAAGGGGAGAGAGGGAACUGCUGGAGUGACGGUGGCAGAACAAACAGCGGCAUCCUCUCCUCCUCGAUUACUCCAGUUGUGAUCCUGCACCGCUCAGUCAAACAGCAGUAUUCCUUAUCAUUUAAUUAACCUUGUGGGAUUGCCCAGGGUUUAUGGUUGCUAAAUUUGUCAGCAACUCAGCUGGGCUGAGGUUUGGUGUGUCUCAAGGCAGCUGAGUUAUGCUUGUGAUCAAGCUACCAGAUAGGCUCAGCAGAUAAACAUCCGGUAUCAGGCUUAACUAAGUAUUUCAGGAAUGUGUUUGAGUUUGAUUACACAAAAUUGCAGUCCAAUUGACUCCGUGUGUACCUUAGCUCCUUCACCAUCUGAUCCAGGCAGGAAAAAACAGAUCCAGGCAGGAAAACAUGCCACAGACCGGAGCUGAGCCUCUGGGUAAGGCUUUUAUUUUAAAUCCUUGAGGCUGUUGGAGAUUUCUCUGACCUGAGAGAAGCUCAGCUGUUAGAAGACAGCUUUGUUAUGGACCCUGCCACAAAGCAGAGCAAACCAAACUCUCAGCUGCCCACUUCUUGCUGAGGAGAAAUGAAACAUAGGAUGGUCUUUUAUACCAGGGUUGCUCAGAUGCAUCAGUGAGGAAUGAGAGCCAAGAACUGGAGGGGACUUAACACUGGAGAGGUGGCAGCACGAUUUCCCAGGUGGCUGUGGCAGCAGCAGCCAAAAUCCUGAGUUUUGUUUAUUGCAGUAAGAAGGGAAGUGAUGGAAAAGGUGCCGUGUCUCCAGGAAGGGGAAGAAGAAUCGGUGCGAGUCAUUGGCAUUUCACUCUGAGUGACCUUGGGGGGUUCCAGCUGUACCUUGUGGUGUGGGAGCAGGGGUGUCUGGGAGGGAGCAAGAGCAUUUUGGGAAUACAAAGGCCUUGUGAAGGGAGCUGCCCUCUCUCAGAGCGUGCAGGGAGUUGCUCUGGCCGGCCCGCUCCAUAGGGCUGGCGCUGGGAACAGCAGCGUUACCAUAGGUGGAGCGCUCCGGCCCCGAGCCAGCAGAGAGGCUGUGCCACUCACAGCAAACAGCUCAUGCUCAGGAAAUGCCAUCUGAGCGGGAGCCUGAACCAUCCCAAAAGGAAGGGUGCUGGGAAGGGCCGAGCUUCAUUCCCAGUCUUGUAGGGAAGGAUUUGGCAGCACCAGCCCAGCAGAUGUUUCUGCCUGAUGUUAGUGCAGGGAAGCGGGAUGGGGGUGUCCAUGAACACCCUAAUGCUCUAGAGACAGGAGGAUCCUUCUCUGAGUAAUGUGGAUACUGUCAAAGGGGCCAAAUGUGUGUGCAGGGAACUGCAGGCACGGGAUAAAAUGCAGCUUUGCCUUGUGCUUUGGGCAGGCAAUUACCUCUGUACAGAGGCCAAAAAAAGACCGAUGAUAAUUCCACCUUUUUAAACACAGCAAUUGGAAAGGUACCAGGCAGAGAGAACGCCACGUGCUGCUGAGCCAGCCUGAAGACACCCCCGUGCAACACCGUGCUUUUCUCCUGCUCAGCAAACCCGCCGUGUGCUGAAGGACUCCCGCGGACUUUGCACCCCCGAGGGAACCUUUUUGCUGGAGGAAACAUCAGGGUGUUCAUCUCUGCCAGUGGUGUAGCAGAGAGAAAAAAGGAAAACAUCUCUUAGGCAGGGCUUGAUUGCCAGCUGAAAAUAAGCAAAGUGCCUGUCAGUGACAUGUGAGCACAAAAAAAGCUUCGCAGAUGGAAAUAAAGGCAACGCUUUUUUCCUCUUCUCCCGCUCUGCCUUCCCUGCAGUGCCAGCGAGGCUUUGGCUCGUGGGCUGCAGAGCCGUGCUGUUCCGGAGCCUGUUGGAUCUGGAGGCACAGUGCUCUUUGCACUCUUACGUGUUUUCUGAAAAUGGUGUCUAAAAGCGUAAUGGGCACUUUGCAGAGCUCUAAAUAGCCCAGCCUCUGUCCUGAGGAGCUGGCAACGCACGGAGGCAAGUGCCUGGGAUGGGAGAACGGCUGCAUCAUACAAACCAGUCAGGGAGGUGGCACGUGGCCCACCUGCUCAGUAUUUUUCCAUCGCAUUCUCAUUCAGCUGCUCCUUUCCAACUUCCAGCUCUGUCACGCUCCUCAAAAGCUUCUACUCUGGGUUUAUUUAGCAUGGUAUUUAUUUCCUAAUUAUAGAACUGAAGUGACUGACCUCAGUCAGCCCUGCUGGGUACUGCUGUCCACCUUUUUGUCCCCUGUAGACCACAGGCUCUGGUCUCUAAUGGCUGAAAGCCAUUGCUAGAGACUUUUUGACUCCUUUUUUGUUUUUCUACCAAACCCAAGAGGGCUCUGACUGCUAACACAGGGAGCUUCACUUAUCAUCUCAGAGCAGAUGGGCUAUUGCAUUCCCAAAUUCUUUAGGCCGAAAGAGAAAUGCCACUUAGCUGAGCACUUUACCAGGCUGUGCUCCGCUGCUCCGUCCACAAAUUCCAAAUAGCCAGCUCACAGCUUUUACCCCACAUCCAGCCACAGCUGCCGGAUGGAGGAAAAGGUUUUGAAAAUCACUCCCCAGCAACAGCAGUGCUGCUGGUCCUGCUUCUGGAUGCUCCAUGGCACUUGAAUCCUGCCUGGCUCCACAAGCAGUCUCGGUGCUCUAGGAGAAGAAUCCAUCUGUAUCUCCCUCAGAUGAAUCUGUGCCACAACACCCCUGAAUUUUCCAGGGGGUCUGGUUAGGUGAAAUUCCUACCUUCUUCACCAAAAGCUGCCAGGCUGAGCAAACCUGUCCCCGCAGCCACUUCUUAUGCCACCUCUUAUUUGCUCUCACCCACUUCUGGCCCUUUAUCACACAUUUUGGUGAAGCGAGACACAGCUGCAGGAGCCAAGUGGUGCUUUGGUGUGGCACCUGUUCCUAAAGCCACUGGCACAAGCAGAGGGGUUCCGUGCAGGGGAGGUAUCAUCAGAGCAGCAGGUGUCUGGCAGGCCUGGAGAGCAGGGAGAGGAGGCAUCUCUGGUGGAAAGCAGGAUGGACUUGAACAAAUUGAUGUAGUAGAACCAGAAGGAUGUAUGAGUUUCUCCUGGAGUGUUUCCAAGAUGUCAUGCUGAAUAAAGGAAGUCAUUGGUCUUCUGUUUAA